GAUAGGUUCCACUGAGAUUUGAACUCGGGUCGCAGGAUUCAAAGUCCUGAGUGCUAACCGCUACACCAUGGAACCUGGCAAAAGCUGGAUUCUCAAUUAACGCUGAUAAUCUUUCCGCAACGCACCAAAAAUCAAAAUUG
ensembl:ncRNA H08J11.13 ncRNA